rnacentral:rRNA from 1 species
UACGUAGGGUGCAAGCGUUGUCCGGAAUUAUUGGGCGUAAAGAGCUCGUAGGCGGUUUGUCGCGUCUGCUGUGAAAACUCGGGGCUUAACUCCGGGCCUGCAGUGGGUACGGGCAGACUAGAGUGCGGUAGGGGAGACUGGAAUUCCUGGUGUAGCGGUGAAAUGCGCAGAUAUCAGGAAGAACACCAAUGGCGAAGGCAGCUCGCUGGGACGUGACUGACGCUGAGACGCGAAAGCGUGGGGAGCAAACAGG